GUUAGGAAUAUUGGACAAUGGGCGCAAGCCUGAUCCAGCCAUGCCGCGUGAGUGAUGAAGGCCUUCGGGUUGUAAAGCUCUUUAGCCGAUGAUUAUAAUGACUGUAGUCGGAAAAUAAGCCCCGGCUAACUUCGUGUCAGCAGCCGCGGUAAUACGAAGGGGGCGAGCGUUAUUCGGAAUCACUGGGCGUAAAGCGUGCGUAGGCGGCUUUGCAAGUUGGGAGUGAAAGCCCAGGGCUCAACCCUGGAAUUGCUCUCAAAACUGCAAGGCUCGAAUUCGGGAGAGGAUAGCGGAAUUGUCAGUGUAGCAGUGAAAUGCGUAGAUAUUGACAGGAACACCAGUGGCGUAAGCGGCUAUCUGGACCGAUAUUGACGCUGAGGCACGAAAGCGUGGGGAUCAAACAGGAUUAGAAACCCGAGUAGUCC
rnacentral:rRNA from 1 species